rnacentral:tRNA from 1 species
GCGGUCGUGGCGGAACUGGUAGACGCGCAACGUUGAGGUCGUUGUCCCUAACGGGGUUGGAAGUUCGAUUCUUCUCGACCGCACCA